CCUGGUCAAAGAUUGCAAAGGUGUUAAUCACACCUUUUUUUUUGAAAAAAAAAGAGGAGGAAGAAGAAAGUGGCUGGAGAAAGUUCAACCAAAGGUAUUUGCGCAUUUAGCGGCCUGGGCCUGGGCCUUGAGUUCGAUUACUAUUUCACUUCAAUGAUCAAUGAUUCCCUUACUUGCAUGUAAGAUACAGCAUAGUAUUUGAUUAUAUUCUUAAAUUUGUUCAGGUCAUAUAACUAAAAAGUAGUCUGGACCAUCUGAGUUGUUCCUAAAUUAACUGUAAGCAUUCUCUAGAGGCUUGAACAGACCAAAGUGAGCUCAGCAGUCAAAUAAAAGAAAUAAACAACUUCAGCACAGUGUGAGAAGAUGAUUUAAAGAAUCUUGUAAGAUGUUAAAAUCUUCUUACCCAGGAUAAGCUCUAAAGACAGCUCCAGAUGGCAAAGGCCUCAUGGAGUAGACUGUUGUAAACGUGCUGUACAAAAAAUAACAAAAUAGAGACCUCCAAUUUUCGCAGUUGAGUACCAUAAUAUGAGAAAAAAUUUGGGAAGCAAAGAUUUCAACACCAAAUGGAAUGAUUGGAUUUUUACCGGAUCAUCUGAGAGGGCAGCUGCAAUUUUCUCUACAUUUGCCAACAUUUGGUAAUCAGGAACAACCAUAACAACUAUCUCAUCUGCAAUAUCUACAGGUUUUCGGUCACUUAAGCUGAGAAUGACAAUCAUACGUCAUUAAGUUAUAAUUGUAUUCAGGUAAAAAAAAAGAACAUAUAGAAUCAGAUUGUCCAAACUCACUUUGGCUUAGCUUUUUAGAGUACACAAUUAAUCUGGAAAAUUGUAAUGCAUUCACUUAAAUGGUGGCUAGAACAGAUUAUGAUAGAUAAAGAUUCUAUCCAAUGUGUAACCAAUAUAUUUUGCCUUAGUCUCAAGUUUUCCUUCAAUCGAUAUCAACAGUAUUAGUGAUGGAAUCUUCAAGGUUUUUUCAGAAAAGGAAUUGUAUGUUUUAUGGAACUUACCUGGAAAUUUUGAAGGAGGCAUCUUUCCAUCGAUAUUCUAGAAGUGCUGCAGCCCCAGCAUCAGGAAACACAGCUUUAACUUUCUAGCAAUUAAAUUUGGAGUGUACUUAGAUAUAUGAUUAAACUAACUUGUGAAUAAACAUCCUAAAAAUUUUGAAUCUUUUCCA